UUAUAGCUCAGUCAGUAGAGCAUGAGGCUCUGAAUCUCAAAGUUGUGGGUUUGGGCCCCCACGUUGGGCAAAA